UAACAUCCGGGAACACUGCAGCGCGGGCUCCAUAAUCCUUAUGUUGCAUUUAUUAUCUCACCACAACAAAAUUAAGCCCCAUCGAGAAAACUUGCCCAGGAAACAUGCAAUGCUACAGUAGAGGGUGAAAUCUGACACAUGUUUGGCUUACGUCGUGUAAAUACCAGAGUGAACCAGUCACCGCCUCACCAGUCACCGGUCACCACAGGCUCUACGUCAUGUGCCCCAGUCUGCAGCCUGCACCCACACCCUCGCUCAACCAUCCACUCACCAUACACAGUUACACACACUCACAUACACCGGAAACUUAUACACAAGGAAAUCAGCCAUAUUUUUAUCUUUCUUAAGUAUGCUUUACAGUAACAAAACCAUUCCAUAGCAUAAGUACAGGACAAUAUUCAUACAUCUUGGCUAGCCUCAUGUAGCCUACACAUGCCGUGCUGCCUCCCCCGCUCGGCUCCCAAUGCCAGCUUGCUCACUUGCUCAUCCAUACCACACCCGAACAUUCACAACCUUGUUCAUGUUACUGUAUUAAAACAAAGUAAUAUGAAAUUCAGAACACAAGUGAGAAAUGUCAAUAGAAACAAGAUAGAUGCAAGUAAAGAGAAUAUAGAAGGUAUAGAAAGAUAGAAAAUAUAUACACUAAAUAAGAAUCAAGAUGAUAGAAAUAUGAAUGGAAAGGAAAAGUAAAAAAAAAAAAAAAGGAAAAACACACGAAAGAGAAGAAAGACAGCGAUAGAGUCAGAAUAGAUAGAAAAUAAGAGAGGAUAGAUAAAGUUAAGAAAGGUGUGUGUGUGUCCAGGUCCCCCUCAUUGAAGCGAGAUAUUAUCCCCUGGAGUGGGGGGGUUGGGUGCUCAUUGUUGCCUGGUAACGCCGUAAGUAAUGAAUAGGAUCAGAGGCGAGGGAUGAUAAUAGAAUAAGAGUAGUGGUAAAAAUACGAUUUGUUUGACCUAGCUGCAUACUGUGCGCCGCCACGCCUCACCACCAUGCAACACCUACUACGUCAAUUACUACUCCACUAUUUAUCUACUGUCCGAUGUACUUUUUUUUUUUUUUAUUGAACUAUCGUUGUUAUUGGUUUAUUUUUCUGUUAUUUCUCGUUUAAUUUAUUUUUAUUAUUGUUAUUAUUGUUAUUAUCUACAGUAUAUGACUGUCACAGCAUUUUUCUGACAGAAUGAGUUUAUUUUUGUCUAUCAUAUAUCUCAAGUAAUGUAUCAAGGCAUGUAUCUCAAGGAGUGUGUGUUUCUUCCUCUCCUUUGCAUCAGCUUCUGUACAUCUCCAAAUGAUGAAUAAAAUAGUUAUUAUUUUC